UACGUAGGGGGCAAGCGUUGUCCGGAUUUAUUGGGCGUAAAGAGCGUGUAGGCGGCUUUACAGGUCCGUUGUGAAAACUCGAGGCUCAACCUCGAGACGCCGGUGGAAACCGUAAAGCUAGAGUCCGGAAGAGGAGAGUGGAAUUCCCGGUGUAGCGGUGAAAUGCGCAGAUAUCGGGAAGAACACCCGUGGCGAAGGCGGCUCUCUGGGACGGUACUGACGCUGAGACGCGAAAGCGUGGGGAGCGGACAGG
rnacentral:rRNA from 1 species